CCGUGCCGCGUACGGUAGGCGCGGUGUAUUUUUGGGGUUGGAUUCGUGUUGAUUUCUGGGGGCUUCCAGGUGCGGCCGCUCCCCGAGAAGCGAGACCGUGCUGAGGACGUGGUUGUCUGUCCUUCCCCCGGGGAUGCCGUUGACUGCAGCCGUCUCAGGCUUGCGUGGCUUCUCUCUGCCCGGUGUUGCCAUCCUCGCAGCGCGGGGGCGAAAAGGGACACACAGAGCCCUUCCCGGCUGUGGACAGGAGCUGCCUCGGCUGAAGCUGGAGACGCCGACGAAAGGUGGAGGACGGCCUAGAGUCUGGAGCUGCAGAAGAGGCAGGGCGGAGAGGAGGGGAAAGAAGCAUCUGAACGGCUAAAUUGUGCCAGCAGCGCUGAGAGCGAGAGUCGCGAUGUCUUCUCAGUGUCUCGUGAUGCUCAAGAGAUGCCCCCCGGCCCGGGUUUGCCUGCCGGUCGUUAAGCGCGGUGAAGGUAAGGGGCCGUCCCUCUGCCUGGGGGCUCCCGGCUCUGUCUCCAGCAGGUGCCCCGCAGGUGCGGCCGUGAGGGCUGCCUGGUGGGGAGAGUCGGGGCCCCCAGGGGCCGGGGCUGUUUGUCGCCCCGGGGAGCCCGUCCCAGAGGGGGAGCAUGGCCGAGCAGAGCCCGAGAGAGACAUGACACUGUCCUCUGGCACGCUCCCGCUCCGCCGUGGGG